CAAUUGCUAUAGUACCCCUGGGAUCUAGAAACAACCUUCCAUUUGCUUUUGGUUGGGCAGGACAAAGCCUAUACUUUUUUAAGUUUUGUUUUAACUUGAAAGUGUACUAAUAUUACUAAUUGAUGUUCUAAUUGUGCUUUGUCUCGAUUUAUUAAGCGGAAUAUAUUGUCUCUCAAGCAGGUAGUUGGAAUUAAGUAUGUUAACAUUUCUGUGUGUGUUUGUGUGAAUAGACAAAAAGACGUCAAAACCCACUUGAGAAUUCAUCUAUGUUUGCUCAUACAUUCGUUAACCACUUUUUUUUUAUUCAUUAUAUCCUGGUCUUAAGAUUAAAAUCUAGUGACUAUUUUUAAGAUUAAAGUUCAACAAAAGUUUUAGACUUCAUUCCUUAUAGCAUAGUCUAUAUCCAUAUGGAUUUGACGCCGAAUUGAAUAUGAUGUUAGUGUGUUUCAUGUAACGCUACCUUUAUAUUAUGUAUUUGUGGAGUCUGGGGCUGACAAGUUUGGAGUUUAAUAAUUUGUAGGUAAAGAAGAAUCCUGGAACAGAUCGUCAUUUUGUAAUCUCAUUCUUGGAUCAAGUAAUUAAAGGCACAGAAAUGAAAAUAGACAGGUAACGAUUUGAAGAAAGUACUUCCUUUGGCCGACGACGUCGUACUUCAACAAGUUAAAACAUCAUUAGAAUUUUUUGGCCCGUUUUAACCUUCAAAAACAAGGGCGGACAACCCAUAUACUGUGGCGAUACAAACCUACAUACGCUACUUUUUCGAUUGUGGAUCACAUUCUGAUUCCAAAGGGCAAACAACAGCUCACGACCCUUAUUUUCCUGAACUGCAAGAACCUUAGGGAAAUUGGUGUCAGAGAUUCGGAUUUGGAACAAGGUGAAGUUCGUGAUCAGGUCGCUGAACCAAACGAAACCGAUUUGGAGGAAGUCGAGAAGAUGCCAGCUCGAAGAAGGGCCGAGGUCGCCAGGUCUAAGCCCCCUCCACCUGUUCAGACUGACUCUGCUCCACCGGCUCCGGUUGAGGCUGUAAUUUCUCCAACUAUUGUUGACGAAAUGAAGCAAGCUAUUGUGGAGGAGUUGGCCAUUGGGAAAUCGGACAAUCUGUUGGCCGAACAGAGGGGGGAAAAAUGCCCCGCCGAGUUUGGAGCCGAUCUUUUUGAAGAGUUAGUCGACAAACGGCUACGCGUGGAAGAACCGCAGGAUAUCAUGGCGUCGUUUCUUAUCUAACCCAAAAUAAAGAACACGCUGGUCUCUGCUGACGCAUCAACUUUAAAGGACCCCGCUCUGGCACUAAGUGUGGCCUCAUCGAUAUCCUUGCCAGUUGAUAGGGCUGCGUUCCGUACAGAGCCGGACAUAGUGUUAAUAACACUAGCUUCUCAGUCGACGGUAUUGGCGGUGGGCAGGAUUGCAGAGAUCGGUCGCUAACAUUAUGACACCGUUGAGCAAAUUGUCUUUCUCAAAGCUGAAAUUGAAAUCGAAAAGAAUAAGGCUAAAGAGGCAUUGGCCGAACUGGCAGUGGCAUCUCUCAGGGCCGACUCUGAAGCCAAGAAAGCGGAGGAAGAGCAGGCAAGGGCCGAUGCCGAGGAAGAGAAGGUGAAACACUUGGAUCUUCUCAGAGUCGCCGAAAGAUAGAGCAAGCGUUAGUGAAGAAGUGCUAAAGUUGGCCAAGGAAGCGAUUACGAAGCUGGAGGUCGAUUUGGAAGAAUCGAGAAAGGCAAAAGAAAUUGCCGACGAGGUUUCCAAAGCGUUCAAUGCUAGUGAGAUCGCUGCCUUGGAGAAAUAUGUGGAGCAAGUACCUAAAUUUGAGAAUCAGGGAUUCAAACAUAGCUGGCUCAAAGCUCUAGCAGCCGCUAAUGUGGUAUUGGAGUAGCUAAUUCCAUAUGAGCAGCUAGAGGUUGAGCCGCUGGAGUCUGACCCUGAGGAAUAAGUAGUGUAAUUUUGUUUUUUGAUUAGCAUUUUCUUGUACGUAAUUUUUUCUAGAUUUUUGUAAAGCAAUUUUCAUGAGGGAAAUGAUGACCGAUUGUACUCAAUUUUUUAAUGAAAAUCAUCU